CAUGCAGUCGAGCGAUGAAGCUUCCUUCGGGAAGUGGAUUAGCGGCGGACGGGUGAGUAACACGUGGGUAACCUGCCUCAAAGUGGGGGAUAGCCUUCCGAAAGGAAGAUUAAUACCGCAUAACAUAAGAGAAUCGCAUGAUUUUCUUAUCAAAGAUUUAUUGCUUUGAGAUGGACCCGCGGCGCAUUAGCUAGUUGGUAAGGUAACGGCUUACCAAGGCAACGAUGCGUAGCCGACCUGAGAGGGUGAUCGGCCACAUUGGAACUGAGACACGGUCCAGACUCCUACGGGAGGCAGCAGUGGGGAAUAUUGCGCAAUGGGGGAAACCCUGACGCAGCAACGCCGCGUGGGUGAUGAAGGUCUUCGGAUUGUAAAGCCCUGUUUUCUGGGACGAUAAUGACGGUACCAGAGGAGGAAGCCACGGCUAACUACGUGCCAGCAGCCGCGGUAAUACGUAGGUGGCGAGCGUUGUCCGGAUUUACUGGGCGUAAAGGGUGCGUAGGCGGAUGUUUAAGUGGGAUGUGAAAUCCCCGGGCUUAACCUGGGGGCUGCAUUCCAAACUGGAUAUCUAGAGUGCAGGAGAGGAAAGCGGAAUUCCUAGUGUAGCGGUGAAAUGCGUAGAGAUUAGGAAGAACACCAGUGGCGAAGGCGGCUUUCUGGACUGUAACUGACGCUGAGGCACGAAAGCGUGGGUAGCAACAGGAUUAGAUACCCUGGUAGUCCACGCCGUAAACGAUGGAUACUAGGUGUAGGGGGUAUCAACUCCCCCUGUGCCGCAGUUAACACAAUAAGUAUCCCGCCUGGGGAGUACGGUCGCAAGAUUAAAACUCAAAGGAAUUGACGGGGGCCCGCACAAGCAGCGGAGCAUGUGGUUUAAUUCGAAGCAACGCGAGAACCUUACCUGGACUUGACAUCCCUUGCAUAGCCUAGAG
rnacentral:rRNA from 1 species